UACGGAGGGUGCGAGCGUUGUCCGGAAUCAUUGGGCGUAAAGGGCGCGUAGGUGGCCCGGUCAGUUCGUGGUGAAAGCGCGGGGCUCAACCCUGCGUCGGCCAUGAAUACUGCCGCGGCUGGAGCACUGUAGAGGCAGGCGGAAUUCCGGGUGUAGCGGUGGAAUGCGUAGAGAUCCGGAAGAACACCGGUGGCGAAGGCGGCCUGCUGGGCAGUUGCUGACACUGAGACGCGAAAGCGUGGGGAGCAAACAGG
rnacentral:rRNA from 1 species